CCUACGGGUGGCUGCAGUGGGGAAUAUUGGACAAUGGGGGCAACCCUGAUCCAGCCAUGCCGCGUGUGUGAAGAAGGCCCUCGGGUUGUAAAGCACUUUCAGUGAGGAAGAACGCCUGGUGGUUAAUACCCAUCAGGAAAGACAUCACUCACAGAAGAAGCACCGGCUAACUCCGUGCCAGCAGCCGCGGUAAUACGGAGGGUGCGAGCGUUAAUCGGAAUUACUGGGCGUAAAGCGCGCGUAGGUGGCUUGAUAAGCCGGUUGUGAAAGCCCCGGGCUCAACCUGGGAACGGCAUCCGGAACUAUCAAGCUAGAGUGCAGGAGAGGAAGGUAGAAUUCCCGGUGUAGCGGUGAAAUGCGUAGAGAUCGGGAGGAAUACCAGUGGCGAAGGCGGCCUUAUGGACUGACACUGACACUGAGGUGCGAAAGCGUGGGUAGCAAACAGGAUUAGAUACCCCAGUAGUC
rnacentral:rRNA from 1 species